AUGCAAGUCGAACGGUAACAGGAAGCAGCUUGCUGCAUCGCUGACGAGUGGCGGACGGGUGAGUAAUGUCUGGGGAUCUGCCUGAUGGAGGGGGAUAACUACUGGAAACGGUAGCUAAUACCGCAUAACGUCACAAGACCAAAGAGGGGGACCUUCGGGCCCCUUGCCAUCAGAUGAACCCAGAUGGGAUUAGCUAGUAGGUGGGGUAACGGCUCACCUAGGCGACGAUCCCUAGCUGGUCUGAGAGGAUGACCAGCCACACUGGAACUGAGACACGGUCCAGACUCCUACGGGAGGCAGCAGUGGGGAAUAUUGCACAAUGGGCGCAAGCCUGAUGCAGCCAUGCCGCGUGUAUGAAGAAGGCCUUCGGGUUGUAAAGUACUUUCAGCGAGGAGGAAGGUGGUGAGUUUAAUACACUCAUCAAUUGACGUUACUCGCAGAAGAAGCACCGGCUAACUCCGUGCCAGCAGCCGCGGUAAUACGGAGGGUGCAAGCGUUAAUCGGAAUUACUGGGCGUAAAGCGCACGCAGGCGGUCUGUCAAGUCGGAUGUGAAAUCCCCGGGCUCAACCUGGGAACUGCAUCCGAAACUGGCAGGCUUGAGUC
rnacentral:rRNA from 1 species